AUCCCAUGAUGAGGAUAUUUCCUUAAAAACUCUUUGAAUCUUUCCCAAUCAUCAAACAAAUAUUCAUCAUCUCCUGUUCUAAAUAAAGUAAUCUUAUUUCUCAUAUU